rnacentral:lncRNA from 1 species
GCCCUCUCAUCCCAGCCUUGCCAGCUAAGCCUCAUCCUCACUUCUGGCUGGCCAAGUCAGCUUCCGACAGGGUCAAGCUUACUUCCCGUGGGUUACGCCCACUUCCGCUAGGUCACGCCUCUUUCUGGAGAAUCACCUCAUUUCCAGAAUACAGUAUAGUGCUGGCUUCUCAUGGAUUAGGCUCACUUUUGGCAGAUCAGGCCCACUGCCGGCAGAUCAGGACCGAUUCCUGGCUUGCCAAGGCUGCAGAACUCCUCUCUCUCAGGAGGGAAACCAAUUCCAAACCCAGCCUCAUCGGGAGAGAAAAAAAAAUUUUUUUUAAUAUCUGAGAGCACAUAUAAAUAGUAAUGGUACUUAGGAACCUGUAUUGAUAAUCAAAGAAAUUGCAUAUUCUGUGACCCAGCCAUUGUACUAGGAAUACAUCCUGAGGAAGUCAUCAGAGACGUGAGUACACAUUUGUUCACACAGAUGCACACUGGAGCAUUACUAUAUAAAUGAAAAAGUGAAAACCAUCCUCAAGUCUAAUAAUAAAGGGCUGAUUAAUUUUACAUGUGGCUUAAAUACAUAUCCCUAGUAUAAUAAUUGCUAAGAUAUACUGAGUGCUUACCAUAUGCCACUCAUUGAUUUAAGAGCUAUACAUAUAUUAACUCAUUUUGCCUAUGUGAUCGAUUAUAGUGUGAUUAUACAGGAAUAUUUAAGGCUUGAGAAAAUGUUUACACUCUAUCAUAAUGAAAAAAGUGUAUUACAAAAUUUUAAAACUGUGUAGAUGCAAAAAGUCAGUGUAUUACAAAACUAUUUUUUAAAACUGUGUAGAUGCAAAAAGUCAUGUUUUUUAAAAACUAAAACAUGAAAUUGCUGUUUUUAUUUUCUUUUUUGCCAUUUGGAGAAUUUUCUGGAUUUUCCACACUAAUAAUCACUUAUUACUUAAAAGAAAAUGAUUUCAAAAUAAAAACAUAGUCAGGGUAUUAGGCCAUGCCUGAGGGCCUGAUGCCCAACUGAGUCCAGCUAGUGCUAUGGCCACAGGGAGCCAGUGACCCCUGGGGCUGACCAU